CCUACGGGAGGCAGCAGUCGAGAAUCAUUCACAAUGGGGGAAACCAUGAUGGUGCGACGCCGCGUGGGGGAAUGAAGGUCUUCGGAUUGUAAACCCCUGUCAUGUGGGAGCAAAUUAAAAAGAUAGUACCACAAGAGGAAGAGACGGCUAACUCUGUGCCAGCAGCCGCGGUAAUACAGAGGUCUCAAGCGUUGUUCGGAAUCACUGGGCGUAAAGCGUGCGUAGGCUGUUUCGUAAGUCGUGUGUGAAAGGCGCGGGCUCAACCCGCGGACGGCACAUGAUACUGCGAGACUAGAGUAAAGGAGGGGGAACCGGAAUUCUCGGUGUAGCAGUGAAAUGCGUAGAUAUCGAGAGGAACACUAGUGGCGAAGGCGGGUUCCUGGACAUUAACUGACGCUGAGGCACGAAGGCCAGGGGAGCGAAAGGGAUUAGAUACCCUAGUAGUC
rnacentral:rRNA from 1 species